rnacentral:lncRNA from 1 species
CUUCAUAAAUAGCAACAAGCUAGACGUUCAAUUAAAUGGACAAAAUAAUAAAGCAAAUAAGAAACAACACAGCUUUUACAAAAAACAAAAACGAAUAUCGAUCUCACAUUCAGAAUAGCUGGCUUGGUGAACCGCGAAAACACUUCUCGAAAUACAGAUCGGCUAAUAUUUCAAGCAAAGAAUAUAAAAAAAUCUAUAUUUUCAAAUAAUCCAGAAGGAGAAAUAAUAUUCUAUACAGUCACAGAUCGAUACCUCAUAAAACUGUAGAUUACAGCUGAGAAAAGUGAAUCCGAUUGAGGAAAACAAAGAUAGCAGAAUUUGCCGAUCAACUAAAAUUUCACUACAUUUUUCAUAAGAAGAAGGAAGCUUUUAGAAUCUGGAAUCUUGAAGAGAGCCGGCUGAGUGUGUGAGCAGAGCGAAUGUGAUGUAUUUAAUUUUUC